GCUCAAUUUAGCUAAUAUAUUCUGGAUCCAAACCUAUCAGUCAGUAGAGCAUGAGACUCCUAACCUCAGGGUUGUGGGUUUGAGACCCACAUUGGGUG